UCUGCAAACAAAUGAUUACGACAAAGUUACAAAUGAGCAUACUUUCAAUAUCACAAAUACAUGCUACAAAAGGCAAUUUGUUAUCCUCUGAAACAAAAUAUUAUAUUUUCAAAAGCACAUAUAUUUUCAGCAGUUAAAAUUAAACCCCACUUCUUGGCCAACCCGGAUUGGCAUCUACGAAGAAAAUAGAUAUUAAAUAUUAAAAAAAAUCAUCUAGGUAAAGGUUGCUUAAUAAAACUGGACAAUUCAAUAGCAAUGCUGUAAAGUACAUGUGCCUUAUACUGUAAAAUAAAUACUAUUAGAGAGCCUGCCGCAGACUCAUAGGUAUCCACCUUCCUCACAAGCCAGAGAACGGGACUCAAACACAAAGGUAC